rnacentral:rRNA from 1 species
GCUCAGAACUUAAAGGAAUUGACGGGGCCGCACAAGCGGUGGAGUAUGUGGUUAAUUCGAUGCAACGCGAAGAACCUUACCUGGUCUUGACAUCCCGGAGACCCUUAGGAAACUAGGGGGUGCUUCCAUCUGGAAGAAUCUGGAGACAGGUGCUGCAUGGCUGUCGUCAGCUCGUGUCGUGAGAUGUUGGGUUAAGUCCCGCAACGAGCGCAACCCUUGCCUUUAGUUGCCAGCAGUUCGGCUGGGCACUCUAAAGGGACUGCCGGUGUUAAACCGGAGGAAGGUGGGGAUGACGUCAAGUCCUCAUGGCCUUUAUGACCAGGGCUACACACGUACUACAAUGGCCGAUACAAAGGGCAGCGACACUGCGAGGUGAAGCCAAUCCCGUAAAAUCGGUCUCAGUCCGGAUUGGAGUCUGCAACUCGACUCCAUGAAGUUGGAAUCGCUAGUAAUCGUGGAUCAGCAUGCCACGGUGAAUACGUUCCCGGGCCUU